AGAUUCCACAUACAAGUGAUAUCAUGAUAUUUGUCUUUAUUUGGCUGACUUCACUUAGUAUGAGAAUCUCGGGACAAUCCGUGUUGCUGCAAACAGCACCCUUUCAUUCUGCUUAUGGCUAACACGCCAUUGUGGUACUACUGCCUUAGAAAAUCACUCUUUUACAACCAUCAAGUAAUGAACAGAUUCAGCAGCAGCCCACAUGGCCCACAAAGCCGACGGUAUUUCUGUGAGUCGCUGACCCACUAUAGAAAAAGUCUGCACAGCUCUGCUUCAAGCCUCAAGUGCUCUGCACUGCUACGUGCAAACCCAACACACGACUUGCACAGGACUUUUCAGAGCCUUUCAGGCCAAACCAAACCGCCUCCCAAAAAGGUGAGGGUGAAAUGCCACCAACUGACUCCCCGAGUCACAGGACCCUAGGCGUCUGGAGAAGCUGCCAGUCCGGAGAGGAACCCAUUCCGGGGGAAGGAGACACCAAUUCAACUCGGAUAAAAUGAACUUGCUGAGACCAUGAGGUCACCGACACUCUCAGCAGAUAAGCCGAAGACCCCCUGUUCCCCAUAAGAGCGCCUUGCUAAACGUAAGAAAUGAUAUGACUAAGGAAAGACAAUAUCUGAAUGCAUGUUCCCAGCACCCUCGUAGUCAAGGGGGAUUUGGCAAUACCCUAAACCAAGUCCCAAGAACCUGAUAUUUUAGGUGGGGGCUGGCAGCAGGGGGUAGGGUGGAAAACGAAUACCUAGGACACGGCAGAUGACGAGUGGGGUGACGGCAGAAAAGUGACGGGGACAAUCCCUUCCCUCCUAGUCUUGGGGGCAAUCCUGUAACGGGAUAUCAUGCAGCUGUUGGAAAGAACGCAGCACAUCUGUACGCACUUGAUAUGAAAAGAGGACCAGGGAAGAAAGCACAGCACUGAACAAGGUACAGAAUGGACAUUUUGUGUACGGAAAGGGGGGAGUGAGCCUGUCUAAGGGGACUUGCUGACGGGGCAGAGAGAAACACUGCAAGCGCUGCUGGGGGAACAGGAUGGGCGGCACGGAGCUACAUAGAGAAUGUGCACCAGUUACACAAAAUUCCAUUUAUAAGCCCCACAGCCACACGCGCAACAAAGGGGUCUGUCAGGGUAAACACCAAACCAUUACUCCCCCGAGAAGAUGUUUACUCUAACCUUACCUACUUCUCUGUAGUUGGCUCCAUCACUUCCGUAAUUAAAAACACAACAAAGCCCAAACAGCUUGCAACCAGUCCUAGAGAGGUCGGUAUUACCUCUAUUACAGCUAAGGAAAUAAGCUCCAGCAGGAGGUGUGGCCCCAGCCCGAGGUCAGAUGGCAGCGCCCUUUCCUCCUCACCUCCCAGUGCCAAGGUGGUGGCGGGGGUUGGGGGCGGCUCUGGGCCAGGCCAUCCGGGCAGCCGUCCUGUCCAGCAGAGGCCUCAGCAAUCAAAGGCUCUACAAGUGGGGGCGUGGCAAGAACUCUCUCGCCUUCUAGGGUGCUGAGGUCUUAGGGUAAACACUGCCCUCUUUCUGCGCGAGCUCAAGGACUGGGAGCCCUGCUCAGUUACUGCAAAACCCCCAUGUUUAUGCAUUAGUUACUGCCUCCCUGGUCUGGAGGCUGAAUGGCAGAGCCUCGGGCUCCACGCCACCCCUCCCGCGGAGGAGGCCGGUAACAAUCGGAGGUCUGUCUGGGUGGCCAGGCUGGAUACAGCCUCUCUGAGCCCAGGAGUCCAACCUGGAGCCUCCCCAGCCCCUGCCAUCUGGGGGGACGCAGGUGAACAACCGCUUCGUCACCUCUCUGCCCAGGAGUGAGGUGGUAGGGGGGAGGUUGCCAGUCUCAGGCCAAGGCAGCACACUUCUCCUUUGUCCCAGGCCUCCCCAGUUCUGCCAGCUGGGGUGGGAGGUGGAGGGAGCUGGAGGCCUGUACCCUUGGAGCUGGAGCAGAGCUCUGGGGCCCGGCACCCUGUGACCAGGAGGCGCUGGGCAAAGCCGAGCUCCUUGAAGUCACAAGCGGAUUACGGGGGAUUUGGGGUUGACCCAGCUCCAGGCCGAGUCGGCUUGGUCUCGAAUGGCUCCGCAUGGGCCAGCGUCACCACGGAGAUGUUGACGAUAGCGUCUAGACACCCAAACUGGCAGCGCCAAGGGUCUUUCCAUCGAAAUAGCCACCACCCUGGUUUAGGGCACUGGGCCGAGUCCAACCACAACCACCACAGGGAAUGAACCUCCCAUUUUCACCGGGAAGAGAACCAAGGCUCCGAGGGAGUCCACUUCCCCAAGGUCAUAUAGUGUUGUGAGGACGUGUUUUUUUGUUUCCACUCACAGAAGGCUUUCAGCUGUCAAAUUAUAUCUAAUCCAACUUUUCAACUGUACCCACAAAGAGCCUAGAAAGACCUGGAGUCUGAGGAUUCCUGCUCAUUCGGGGGCACAGAGGGUGGCGCAGGGGACGGGAGCAUGGAGAAAAAAGCUUGUUUUAAAAAAAAAAAAUACUGAAGAGCAUUUCAA